UACGUAGGGUGCAAGCGUUGUCCGGAAUUAUUGGGCGUAAAGAGCUCGUAGGCGGCUUGUCGCGUCGGCUGUGAAAACCUGGGGCUCAACCCCGGGCCUGCAGCCGAUACGGGCAGGCUAGAGUUCGGCAGGGGAGACUGGAAUUCCUGGUGUAGCGGUGAAAUGCGCAGAUAUCAGGAGGAACACCGGUGGCGAAGGCGGGUCUCUGGGCCGAUACUGACGCUGAGGAGCGAAAAGCGUGGGGGAGCGAACAGG
rnacentral:rRNA from 1 species